AUGGAGUCGCCGCCGCCCAAGCGCAACUUCGGCGACGGCGGCGAGGACGGAAUCAGCGCGCUCCCCGACCACCUCCUCCUCGACAUCCUCGAGCGCCUCGACCUGCGCGAGGCGGUCCGCGCCGGCGCGCUCUCCACGCGCUGGCGGCACCUCCCCGGCCACCUCUCGCGCGUGCGCCUCGACGUCGCUCACUUCCGCGGCGCCACGCCGCUCGAGGUCAUGGACGCGUUCACGGGCGCGGCGCGGGCCUUGCUGACUCGGGUGCCUCCCGCCGAGGGUGGUCCCCUCAAGGUGCUCGUCCUGAGCUUCUACACGUCUUCCCCUCACCUGAGCUCCAUAGGCCGCCUCAUCGAGGACAUUGUGAGCUUGGGCCACACCCAAUGCCUUGAGUUUUGCAUAUCCCCGCCGGGCACUAACCCGCUGGGCAGCAACAUUGAGAUUGGGCAGGAGUUCAUGGCCUUCUCCCGCGCCUACCCAGUUGCCUUCUCGUGGCUCACGACGCUUACGCUCGAAUAUCAUGCUUUUGGAAAUUCCGACAUCACUGACCUCAUUAGCGCUUGCGGCAGGCUCAGGCACCUCAGCUUGAGAUUCUGCAGACUGCUUGAUCUGCACUCCACGCUCAGGAUUGAUGUGCCGUGCUCUGAGCUCCAGGAGCUUGAGUUCAUCGGCCUUUUGUGCACACGCAUCGAGCUCGUCUCUGUCCCCAAGCUUAGACAAGUGGAGUGCAAAUGUUGGCUCUUCAAUAACCCUCCAGUGCGCUUUGGCUACGUUCCUGAGCUUCGCGGUUUAGUACUCGCUUCUAAAGCCAAGGCAUGGCAAGAGCCAUUCGCGCUCAGCGAAUGCUUGUCAACGAGUGCUGGUGCCAGGAACCUGUCAACACUGACUCUCUGUUUUGGGUACCAAAUGGUAAACUUAAUUAAUUUCUGCGCACCACUUAAAUAUAAAUCUUCUGCAUCUUCAUACCAUGUGUUCUUCUCUACCAGUUUCAGUUGUGCAUGUAUGUUCUUGCUGCAGAUUUGGAUUCAGCCAGAACCUCCGAAGCAGCGCAUUGCUAUAUUCAGAAACCUGACCUCUGUGCGUCUUUUCGGUAUCUUCUGUGAGUGUGAUCUGAGCUGGACUCUGUUUAUCCUUGAGGCUGCACCUGCCCUACAUGAUUUGGCAUUGUCUCGACAUUCAUGUGUCAAGACGCCCGAGAACAGCGCCGAGAAGACCAACGUGGUGUGGGAGCCAUCCAAGGAUUUGAAGCACCCGAACUUGAAGGUGUUGCAGAUCUUCGGGUGCGGGGAUGAAGACAAGGUGACAAACUAUAUAAGGCUUGUCAUGGAACGAGCUGUGGGGCUUUUGAUAAUUCGGUUGUAUGGUGAAAACCCAUGCACAUACUGCGAUGCUGGCAACCUUGAAAGAUCCCAGGCGGAAAAGGCUGGCAGGCGUCGGAUUAAGGAGCAACUCACACAUGGAUCAUCCUCAUCUGUGGAGAUAAUUAUCUGUUGA
rnacentral:rRNA from 1 species